AUGCAAUGUCACUCACCACCUUUUCAUCUUCCAUCAACGCUAUAGAGCCACUUACCCUAACAACAUCAAAUGCUUUGUUCAUGAAGAUCAGAAUGAUAAAUAGUUUUUUUUAGUUCUCUAGGAUAAUUCCUUGAGAAAAUAGGGUGCAAUUUAAUUUUUCAUAUGCUAUUCCUUUGAUGUGUGAGAAUUUAGAGAAAUAGAGAAG
rnacentral:misc_RNA from 1 species